UGGGGAAUAUUGGACAAUGGGCGAAAGCCUGAUCCAGCAAUACCGCGUGAAUGAUGAAGGCCUUAGGGUUGUAAAGUUCUUUUAGCAGGGAAGAUAAUGACGGUACCUGCAGAAAAAGCCCCGGCUAACUCCGUGCCAGCAGCCGCGGUAAGACGGAGGGGGCUAGCGUUGUUCGGAAUUACUGGGCGUAAAGAGCGCGUAGGCGGUUUAGUAAGUUGGAAGUGAAAGCCCGGGGCUUAACCUCGGAAUUGCUUUCAAAACUGCUAAGCUAGAGUGUAGUAGGGGAUGAUGGAAUUCCUAGUGUAGAGGUGAAAUUCUUAGAUAUUAGGAGGAACACCGGUGGCGAAGGCGGUCAUCUGGGCUACAACUGACGCUGAGGCGCGAAAGCGUGGGGAGCAAACAG
rnacentral:rRNA from 1 species